ensembl:lncRNA
GGGAAACGCGAGACAGGAGAAUAAACGUUCCUGGCCCGGUAGCACCGUAUGAUUCCAUUUCUGUUUUUAAAAAAUGUGUGUAUGUUGGUGGAAAUAGGUAUAAAAAUGAGCCUGAGAUGGAUUUGAUCAGGAUUUUUCCCUGUGUGUUGGGGCUGUGAGGAAAUCUUCAGUCGUUAUUAUUGGACUUUCAAAAAUGCACAAUAAUUAUUUUUCACGAGGAAAAAAACUGAAACAUAUUUCAUUAGAAAAUGAAGUUUCUGUUCAAACAGGGUGUAAUGCUUACGGUAUGUAAAUGACAUUUAGUCAUACAACAGCCAGUGUCUCUUAUAGCAGCUAAACACUGACGGCCCACGAUGAGUAAGGAUGGACUCCGCGCGUGUUCUCCGCUGUUUUCUGUGGUGGCACUGGGGCUUCGCUGCUGCAGGCUUUCUCUAGUUGCGGCGGGGCGCGGGGUAGGGAGCUGCUCUUCCGUGCUGUGCAGGCUUCUCCUUGCAGGGGCUUCUCUUCUUGCAAAGCGCGGGCUCCCGGCGCAUGGGCUUCGGGAGCUGUGGCGCACGGGCUGAGCUGCCCUGAGGCGCGUCCUGGGCCAGGGGCCGAGCCCGUAUCUCCUGCGCGGGCAGGCGGGCUGCCCCCACUGGAUCCCCAGAAAAGCCCUCUGCUGCCCUUUCAGCGUCCGGAUGCACACCACGUCCCUCCUCUGCUCCCCCGAGACCCCUCUCAAACCCUCUUUAUUAAAACCAUUUCUCACGUUUUCAUUGUACCUCGAAUGAGAAGUCAUCCUCAGCACAUUAACAUCCUGCAUGAACACAAGACACACGGAGAUGCCGGGACUGAAAAAUCAAGCUUUUACAAAGAGCGAUUCUUUGGGGGGGACGUGAAGGCAGUGAACCUGAAAUCUGGUAAACUUGCAUCCCAGAUUCUGUUAGGGUAGCUGUUUCAGAUGCAGUUCAUGAAAAUGAAAAGGAAAAAAAGAAAAGACAAGAAAAAAGACUCCGACUCCGUCUCAGCGCUCAGCGUGUCCACGUAAACGCGCUGUUCUCCCACCUCCCUCGCCAGCAGGGGCGGCCACGAGCACGGUUCCCGUCGGGAAGACUAAGCCGGCCUUUGUGUAAAACUUCAGUUUUCCUUCCUACCUUCCCCCUUUUGUCCCUCUGCCAUUUUUAUUCUUCUCAUCUGGAAUACAGAUGUGAGGCCUGGAGGAGAAGCAGUCACCUUGUGACCAUGGGGAUCACUGCCUUCCGCUGAGAGUGAUGAAGCAGAAAGAAGGUCUGAGGGCUUCGUUGACCAGCUCUGGUCUAUGAACCUCUGGACUUCCUGUUGUGUAAGAUGAAGACAUCUCUACUUUUU